CAAUGUUAGUUGGACGCUUGACUUCAGACCGUGAGGAUCGGUGGAAAAAAACGAAACGAACGAAAAAAAAUAUCAUUGCAAAAGCAACUGCAAAAGCUACCAAUUGUGCAACAAAUUAAAAUUAUCUCAAAAACGCAGAUUGAAAAAUGCCAAAAUAAACAAAGCGCGACAAUCAAAAUUUGUAAUUAUUUAAAUAUUUUGUUCAACAUUGAAAUAUUACAAAUUUACAUGUCACAACAAUACCCUUAAUAUUUAAAAAUUAAAAAAAAGAAAAACUAAAAUAAAUCAUUUGAAGGGUGUGGUGGCCAAGAGCGUGAAGGAGCUGGAAGUUUAUUUGUUUUUACAUUGAAGCUUUUUUAAUUUUUAUUUUAAGCAUGGACUUUACAAUUUUGAUCCAUUUGAUUUUCAUAAUCCAUUAUUUUAAGCAUAGAAUUGACAAUUGUGAUCCAUUUCAUUUUCCCAAUCCAGUACAAUGUAAACGUAGUAUUAUUGUUUGUCUUAUCUGAUUAUUUCAUGUCUUUCCCAUACAAGGAAAUGUCAUCACAUCUGUUACAGUUAACAAUUUCUCCAACCGUCAAAUUGAAAGGGUCACCAAUAACGGCAUUUC